AACGAACGCUGGCGGCAGGCCUAACACAUGCAAGUCGAGCGAAGCCUUCGGGCUUAGCGGCGGACGGGUGAGUAACGCGCGGGUAACCUGCCUCAUACACAUGGAUAACAUACCGAAAGGUAUGCUAAUACAAGAUGAUAUAAGAGAUUCGCAUGGAUUUCUUAUCAAAGCUCCGGCGGUAUGAGAUGGACCCGCGUCUGAUUAGCUAGUUGGUAAGGUAACGGCUUACCAAGGCGACGAUCAGUAGCCGACCUGAGAGGGUGAUCGGCCACAUUGGAACUGAGACACGGUCCAAACUCCUACGGGAGGCAGCAGUGGGGAAUAUUGCACAAUGGGCGAAAGCCUGAUGCAGCAACGCCGCGUGAGCGAUGAAGGCCUUCGGGUCGUAAAGCUCUGUCCUCAAGGAAGAUAAUGACGGUACUUGAGGAGGAAGCCCCGGCUAACUACGUGCCAGCCGCCGCCGUAAAAC
rnacentral:rRNA from 1 species